GUGAAUUGCAGAAAACCACCACAUUGAAGCGUCGUGUUGCAGAAAAGACUUUUCUACAAAUUUAUGCCAGAAAACACUGAUUUUUAUCCUAAUCAUUUGCAAAAAUCACCUAACCUUCUGUUCGGGCAUUUUAACCUCUAUUACGACAUGUGGGUCCCGUAUUUGAUGAUGUGGCCCAACGUUUCAUGGUAGACGACGUUAGAUGAGGGAUUUUCUGGAUUUACAAAUCAGUCCCUGUAGUUUUACAGGAACAUCCUUCAAUCAGAAAACAAAAAGCAAUCAACUCCCUCCAUGGAUUUGGGCUGACACAGCAGCCGAGCAGAGCAGCAGAACUAUUUGCCGCAGCACCUCCACCCAAUCCUCCGGACCACCUCUUCCCAAUCCACCUGACCACCUCCCGCCGCUGGCCACCCUCCCCCCAGCCUCACCCGCCGCCGCCACGCCCUCCCCCGGCCUGACGCGCGUCCUCGCACCGUCGUCCACCCUCCCCCCAGCGUCACCUGCCGCCGCCACGCCCUCCCCCGGCCUGACGCAACUCCUGGCGCCACCGGACCCCAGCACCACCUUGCGCCGUCGUCCACCCUCCCCCCAGCGUCACCUACCGCCGCCACGCCCUCCCCUGGCCUAACGAAACUCCUGGCGCCACCGGGAGGAGGCAGCCAAGGCGCAAGCAGGCGGGGGCAGCCGGGAGGUUGGUGCGAGCCCCGUCGUAGGUUGGUGGCGCGCGGGGAUGCAGGGACCUGGCGGUGGUGCAAAGUGGGUCUCCGGAGGCGCCGCGAAGUGGGGCUCUGGCGCUGCAGCUCUGCCGAACUUGGCGGCGAGGAGGGCGCAGGCGUCCUGCAGCUCCGGCAGGUCGCCACACCAGGCGGCUGCGUAGACGAGCCCCGCCGCCGCUCCCGGAUGACCUGCUCGCGGCGGACUAGCGCGAGGUCCGGUGGCCCAGCCGGAGCAGCUCUGCCGAACUUGGCGGUGAGGAGGGCGCAGGCGUCCUGCAGCUCCGGCAGGUCGCCACACCAAGCGGCUGCGUAGACGAGCCCCGCCGCCGCUCCCGGAUGACUUGCUCGCGGCAGACUAGCGCGAGGUCCGGUGGCCCAGCCGGAGCAGCUGCUCCACGUCUCCGACAUCGCUCUCUGGCGCACUUCGCCAUGUCCCUGCAUGCACGCCGCCGGCGACAACAUCAGCUGGCGCGAGGAGGGAAGCCCGGUGACAAUAUGGAUUGGGUAGGGGAGGGAUUGGGAGGAAGGUUCUUUUUGGGAAAAUACCAGUCUAGCGGCAUCUACCACGAAACGUUAUGCCACGUCAGCAAAUGUGGGAUCCACAUGUCAUAAGAGAGGUUAAAAUGCUCGAACGGAAGGUUAGGUGGUUUCUGCAAAUGAUUAGGACAAAAUUCAGUGUUUUCUGGCACAAAUUCGUAGAAGAGUCUUUUCUGCAACACGACGCUUCAAUGUGGUGGUUUUCUGCAAUUCACUCGUCCUAUAAUAGUGGUCACACAAGAAUGAACCAAACAAGAAGAUGGAGCAAAAAUGGAAGUCACCUCCUAUUGGAACCCUGAAGAUAAAUACAGACAUGUCAUUUAUUGAAGCAAAUUUGCUAUUAGAAAUGACCAAGCCGUUCUGCUACAAAUUAUGAUCUUUCAGCACUAGGCUCUUUAUUCUAGGAUGUUAAAUUUCAAAUGUGUGUGGGCUUAAAUGUGGUAAGUGUUGAACAUUGUAGUAGAGAUUGUAACAAAGAGAGCCCAUACUUUAGCUGCGCAUGGUGGGCUUAAAUAUUGCAGGUGUUGAACACUGUAGUGGAGAUUGUAAAAAAGUAGCGUGCACUUUAGCUGUGCAUAGUGCCAGUACGGGAAGGUUUACAUAGAAACCUGCCUGGGUCAAUUCCCUGGAUUUGUAUCUUGCUGGCGAUAUGCACGUUAAGUUAAUGGAAUGCUUUAUCUCAAAAAAAAAGUUCAUGGAA